GGCUCAACCGGGGGAGGUCUGCCGAUACCGCUCAACUUGAGGACCGGAGAGGGGAGUGGAAUUCCCGGUGGAGCGGUGAAAUGCGUAGAGAUCGGGAGGAACACCCGUGGCGAAGGCGGCUCCCUGGACGGUCCCUGACGCUGAGGCGCGAAAGCCAGGGGAGCGAACGGGAUUAGAUACCCCGGUAGUCCUGGCUGUAAACGAUGGUCACUAGGUGUUGGGGGUAUCAACUCCCCCAGUGCCGCAGCUAACGCAAUAAGUGACCCGCCUGGGGAGUACGGCCGCAAGGCUGAAACUCAAAGGAAUUGACGGGGGCCCGCACAAGCGGUGGAGCAUGUGGUUUAAUUCGACGCAACGCGAAGAACCUUACCAGGGCUUGACAUCCCUCGAAUCCGCUGGAAACAGGGGAGUGCCCUUUUGGGGAGCGAGGAGACAGGUGGUGCAUGGCUGUCGUCAGCUCGUGUCGUGAGAUGUAGGGUUAAGUUCCGCAACGAGCGCAACCCUCAUCGCAUGUUGCCCCCGGUCCUUUUUGGGGUCGGGGCACUCAUGCGAAACUGCCCCGGCAACGGGGAGGAAGGUGGGGAUGACGUCAAGUCAGCAUGCCCCUUACGCCCUGGGCGACACACAUGCUACAAUGGGCGGUACAAAGGGGGGCAAGACCGCGAGGUGGAGCAAAUCCCUAAAAGCCGUCCUCAGUUCGGAUCGAAGUCUGCAACUCGACUUCGUGAAGCUGGAAUCGCUAGUAACCGCCGGUCAGCCACACGGCGGUGAUACGUUCCCGGGCCUUGUACACACCGCCCGUCAAGCGAUGAGAGUCGGUGGCACCCGAAGUCCUUGG
rnacentral:rRNA from 1 species